CGUCUGUUGCGUAGGUGACCUGCGGAAGGAC
rnacentral:rRNA from 1 species